CAGCCGCCGCGGGAAUACAGAGGGUGCGAGCGUUAAUCGGAUUUACUGGGCGUAAAGCGUGCGUAGGCGGCUUUUUAAGUCGGAUGUGAAAUCCCUGAGCUUAACUUAGGAAUUGCAUUCGAUACUGGGAAGCUAGAGUAUGGGAGAGGAUGGUAGAAUUCCAGGUGUAGCGGUGAAAUGCGUAGAGAUCUGGAGGAAUACCGAUGGCGAAGGCAGCCAUCUGGCCUAAUACUGACGCUGAGGUACGAAAGCAUGGGGAGCAAACAGGAUUAGAUACCCCCGUAGUCCCCGUCUCUUAUAC
rnacentral:rRNA from 1 species